rnacentral:rRNA from 1 species
CAGUAGCCACGGGAAUACGAAGGGGGCUAGCGUUGUUCGGAUUUACUGGGCGUAAAGCGCACGUAGGCGGACUUUUAAGUCAGGGGUGAAAUCCCGGGGCUCAACCCCGGAACUGCCUUGAUACUGGAAGUCUUGAGUAUGGUAGAGGUGAGUGGAAUUCCGAGUGUAGAGGUGAAAUUCGUAGAUAUUCGGAGGAACACCAGUGGCGAAGGUGGCUCACUGGACCAUUACUGACGCUGAGGUGCGAAAGCGUGGGGAGCAAACAGGAUUAGAUACCCCCGUAGUCCCUGUCUCUUAUACA